rnacentral:rRNA from 1 species
AUGCCCCUUGGUGUUCAAGAAAACCAUACUCACCAGAUAUUGCCACAAGGUUACUGGCAAAGCAGUACCAAUCUUGAUGAUUUGUGUAGGCAGGCCACCCAUAUGCUUGAGGAGGAAAUAUUAACGGUGUUGUAUCUCAGGUGGCAUGACUUUUUUUGUAAAGGGCAGAGUGGGUUUCUUUUUUCCCCAAUGAGCAUGUUGAUCCUUGUGGACAACUGGACAUGGCAUAUCUCCUUGCCUUUUCAUUAUGUACGAGUUCAUUUAAGCUUAUAUUAUUUUUGUACUCAUGUUACUUAUGAUGAUAUUAAGGUUAUGGUCAUGCGCAUUUUAACCCACUGGCAUAUAUAUAUGCUUCUAGACACAUUGAUUUACUCAAAAGGACCGAUGUGUUUUCUGUUACGUUGUUCCAUCAAUGGGAUUUAG